GGGUAGCUCAGUUGGUCAGAGCAUGGUGCUGAUAACGCCCAGGUUGCAGGUUCGAUACCCGCAUGGGACA